UUAUGUAAAUUAUGUUCGUGUCUAGUAAUAUAAUAUUCAAUUAAAAUGUACUGUGUAUUGAAUAACUACCUAAGUACCAAGUAUAACUAUUAAGUAAUAAGUAAUAACUAUCAAAUAAUAUGACCAUAUUAUACGAAAAAGAAGUAAGAACAGGUAUUUCAGUAUGUAUAGUACCUAUCUAUUUUCAGUGAUCUGAAACUAAAGGCACAGAAUAAUAUUUUGUGCUGUGCUGUAGCCUGUAGUACUUAUUGCUACAAUAAUAAUUUAUUUACUAAA